UACUAGAACUAGAGUUUUUAUCGUUCUCUCUCAUUCAUUCAUGUUAUUACAUUCCUCAUCAAAACCUUCUUACCCUUAAAUUUAGCUCGUUGAACACGACCUUCUUCUCAUUCACAAUCCCAACACUCCAAAAACAAUGAAAACUUUUCUUUUCAUUCUCAUUUUUUUCCUAUGCACAAUUAUGGUGAAGAUAACAUUUACCUUGUGCCACACCAAGUGCUAUCUUCUUUAUCCUAUGUAUCCAAAUAUUAAUCUAAAACAUAAUAUUAGAGGAUAGCAUUGGGGUGACACAAGGUAUAAAUUAUCUACACCACCAUGAUUGUGAUCUAGUGAGUGGUUCCUAUAUAUUGUUGCAUUAAUCCAGGUCAUGAGCACACCAUAUUCUUGUUCUUUACUUUUUUUGAUUGAACAUUUUUGGUUUUAAAACAAUACUUGUGAUGUAAAUGAUUUUUAUGAUGGUGUUGUAGUUGUUGUUGUUGGAAUUUUACUAAUUCUCUCAUAUACUUUGACUACAAAGGCAACGGGGUUGACAUGGAACAGAAAAUAUCGUUCUUAAAUCCUAUAUAUGAACUUGUAUUUUGUUGGUUGAUAAAAUGAUAAAAAAAAAUAGACUUGCUUGAUAGAAAAUCAAUUUUGUGGAGUCCAAAAUUUGAAUCCUUGACCAAGAGUAAUUGAGGCCUUUUUGGUAAUCAAUUAAGCUAUGAAAACGUUGUAGUUUAUUUAUCCUAUAAUAUACUUGUUUUGGACCGGCCAAAAGGACUUUUGACCCAUUUACUUAGGCCCAAUACAAUCCAAAACCCAAACACCACGUUUGGCAAAGUUACUUGCAACAUACCCCUUCCCCGCAAGGGGGUGCAUGGAGCGAAAGAGACUGGUUCAAACGAACCACAACGUCUCUUUGCACGUUCCCGCAAUAAACUCUCUGGCGGUUACACUUCCCACGAUUUCGUAACCGCCAGAGCCAGGUGUGCCAUUACAAUGGCUCUGCAGCCCUCCACCUUUAUAAAUAGGGGACUCACAACAGUCCCCAAGGUAGAAUCUAUCUCUUCCUCUAAACCCUCACCCUCUCUGAUCUCUACUUACUUGAGCGUCGGAGUGCCUGCAGGUACACACCCCCAUCCGCUCCAAGAAGUAUUUUGGCGCAUUUCACCACCACUAAAACCACUGCAUUGACAGUCACCUUCUGAUCAGAAAAUAAUGGCUAAACCUUUGGAGAAAACACAAUUUUAGAGAAGGGCUUAAACUUACACAUGCAUAUUUGUAAAGGAAAGUAUAUGAAAAGAAGGAAGCAUCUUUCUGCUCCAUAUAAUUCAUUUUCUCUCUCUAGCUUUAAGCUAUAUUCUUCUUAAUCCAAGUUGUUUUGUGAUUUUCAUUGUUGCUUUAUGUUAUCAUCUAAAGAUGUUGUUUGAACAAUUUUUCUCCAAGAAUGGAAAUCUUGA